GGGUGCGUUGGCCGGCUGGGUGCAUCGGCACGGGCUCUGGCCGUGGGCGCUGGCGCUGCUCGCGCUGGCGGCGGUGCGGUUCGGCCGCGCCCG
rnacentral:tRNA from 1 species